GUGCUCGCUUCGGCAGCGCAUAUGCUGAAAUUGGAACGAUACAGAGAAGAUUAGCUUGGCCCCUGCGCAAGAAAGGCCGUUGAGCGCAGCGCCUGGCUUUAAAGUUGU